rnacentral:sRNA from 1 species
CUUCUGUCGGAUUCUCCAGCACCACACAAAGAGCUGUCUUUGAGACCAGACACCCUACCCCUUCUUCCUUCUGCUUGGGUACUUCCUUCUGCUUGGCUCCCAGAGUGAGAAACUAGGCAUUCAUUUGUUCAAUCUUCAAACAUAGUCUAUUUGAAAAUACCUCUCCCCUGUUGACAUCCUAAUGUCUAAAACACUACCAUAAACAUUUUCAUCCUCCUUUUGUGCCCCCUAUUAAGAAGCAAACCUGUGAAGCUACUAUCGUUUAUCAUCAGUGUGAAUGCACUGAGAUUAGUCAAGAACAACUUUUUUUUUUUUUUUUUGAGACACAGUCUUGCUCUGUUGCCCAGGCUGGAGUGCAGUGGCACAAUCUCGGCUCACUGCAACCUCUGCCUCCCGGGUUGCAGCAAUUUUCUGCCUCAGCCUCCCAAGUAGCUGGGAUUAUAGGCAUCCACCACCAUGCCCGGCUAAUUUUUUUGUAUUUUUAGUAGAAACAAGGUUUCACCAUCUUGGCCAGGCUGGUCUUGAACUCCUGACCUCGUGAUCCACCUGCAUUGGCCUCCCAAAGUGCUGGGAUUACAGACAUGAGCCACUGUGCCUGGCCAUAUGUUUUUCUUAAGAGAGAAAGGAAAGAGCUGGAAGGCACGGGGUGGGAGGGCCUGAAGAAGGGCAUAAGUCGGGUGGGGUGGGGCAUGGACUGAUUUGGCCUCUUUGUCUUGUUUUGAUGCCAGGCCAGACCUGAGGGAGUGGGUAUGCUCUUGGGGAGUACACAGGCACUACCAUGCUGUCAUUAUCUUUGCUUUUGUCUUGGGGGUUUAGCCAAAGAUUUCAUCCGGCACUUGAUGGAGAAGAACCCAGAGAAAAGAUUCACCUGUGAGCAGGCCUUGCAGCACCCAUGGAUUGCAGGAGAUACAGCUCUAGAUAAGAAUAUCCACCAGUCGGUGAGUGAGCAGAUCAAGAAGAACUUUGCCAAGAGCAAGUGGAAGCAAGCCUUCAAUGCCACGGCUGUGGUGCGGCACAUGAGGAAACUACAGCUGGGCACCAGCCAGGAGGGGCAGGGGCAGACGGCGAGCCAUGGGGAGCUGCUGACACCAGUGGCUGGGGGUGAGGAGCGGGUUCUGCAGAAGGGCAUGGGUGGUCCACAAAGGCGCACCCGGGCUGGAGUGGAGGGCCUGCCCCUGCGGCCAGCUCUGUUCUCUCUUCCCAUGCAGGGCCGGCAGCUGGCUGUUGCUGUCGAGACUGCUGCGUGGAGCCGGGUGCAGAACUGUCCCCCACACUGCCCCACCAGCUCUAGGGCCCUAGACCUCGGGUCAGGAUCUUCUGCGUGGGAGGGCUUGGGGGCAGCCUGCUCCCCUUCCCUCCCUGAACCGAGAGUUUCUCUGCCCUGUCCCCUCCUCACCUUCUUCCCUACCACUCCUCACUGCAUUUUCCAUACAAAUGUUUCUAUUUUAUUGUUCCUUCUUGUAAUAAAGGGAAGAUAAAACCA